rnacentral:rRNA from 1 species
GAUAGCGGCUGCACCAUCAGGAUGACCCGAUCCAACAUCGAGGUCGCAAACCCCUUCGGCAAUGUGGACUCUUAGAAGGGAUUACGCUGUUAUCCCUACGGUAACUUAUUCAUUGAUCAGAUAGACUGGAUCGUUUAUUUUAGGUUUCUUAGUGUUAGAUUUGGAAUCUUGGAGAAUAAUAAGGAAGAUGUGUAUUUUCCGUGGUUGCCCCAACCAAAGAGAGGGGAGAAAUAAGAGAAGAAAGAGUUGUGAGCGUGAUUAGUAAAAACUAAGGUUUGUUGAGUCGGCGUAAGGCUCUAAUCUAAAUUUUACUCUCUAAAGCUCGAUAGGGUCUUCUCGUCUUACGCUUUAAUAGGCGCUUUUGCACGACUAGAGAAGUUUAAUUAAUAAGAAGGAAGACAGUUGAGCCCUCCUCGUCUUGCCGUUGAUACUGGUCCCUAUUUAGGAGACUAGU